rnacentral:rRNA from 1 species
GACGAACGCUGGCGGCGUGCUUAACACAUGCAAGUCGAACGGAAAGGCCUCUUUCGGGGGGUACUCGAGUGGCGAACGGGUGAGUAACACGUGAGUAACCUGCCCUUGACUUUGGGAUAACUUCAGGAAACUGGGGCUAAUACCGGAUAGGAGCUCCUGCUGCAUGGUGGGGGUUGGAAAGUUUCGGCGGUUGGGGAUGGACUCGCGGCUUAUCAGCUUGUUGGUGGGGUAGUGGCUUACCAAGGCUUUGACGGGUAGCCGGCCUGAGAGGGUGACCGGCCACAGUGGGACUGAGAUACGGCCCAGACUCCUACGGGAGGCAGCAGUGGGGAAUAUUGCACAAUGGGUGGAAGCCUGAUGCAGCAACGCCGGGUGCGGGAUGACGGCCUUCGGGUUGUAAACCGCUUUCGCUCAUGACGAAGCUUUGCGUGACGGUAGUGGGUAAAGAAGCACCGGCUAACUACGUG